AAAUGUAUGUUUUUAAAGUUUUUAAAAUGUAGUUUUAUUUUUUCUAAUAAAUGUUUAUCCAGUUCGACCUGUGGUGGUUUCUCUGAGUCCAGCUAAGUAGCCUUGUGUUGCACUUAUUGUCUUUUACGAUUUCCAGGUGUGAACUUUAUUUAUUUAUUUGAAAAAAAAACUCACAUUUUUUUUAUAAUCUGACUGCUUGUUCUAAAUGGCUUCUCUGUUUCGUCCUGCGUUUAGUGUCUUCUGAUCUUCUAGACCGGAUGCAUCUCAUUUUAAGUGCUAGUAAGCGACAGAUGUUUUUUUUUUUUUUCGUUUACGAUGUCCUAGUACAUAAAACCUCAGCACUGAAAGUGGGUUUUCUCUCUUUUUCUCCAGUGCUGUAAUCCAUCACCUACUAAACUUGAAUAUGUAAGAGGAUAAAAAGGUUGUAAGAUCUAUUUCUGGAGCUCCUGCCAGGGUUUCUAGAGGAUGACACAAUUUCCUUCAAGUCUGCAUCUUGUCCCCCAGAGAUAUGGGCGCUCCUUCCGCUCACACCACAGCGCCCCAACCCCCCCACCCUGGUCUGUCACUGGCACCCGACCCAACACACCAGAAGGCACCUGAAGACUCGCAGACUGAGAGCCCUGCGAGCCUUGAAGUCACUGACCCAUUCCAAACUCACCCCCUGAACCGAGGCUUGGCACUCCGGGGAGGGAGGGGGGGGUGAGAAGGAGCAGGGUGGGGGCAUGAAAGCGAGCGCGGUGCUAGGAGGCCUGGCGCUGGCUGGAGCGCCUGGGCUUUUGCGGGCAGGCCUGAGUGAACACGUCAGGUCGAUUUAUGUGACGCCUGACCCCCCCAGCCGACCCCGGGCUGGACUCCACCUGUCCUUCAUCCAAGCAGCCCUCAUUCCUCCGCUCCGCAUGGCCUAAACGGCUGCCAGAACACUGAAGGAGGAGCAGGAAGAAACGGAUGGAGGAGUGGAAGGUGAAGUUAGGUCAGCGAUUAAUGAAGUUCGAAAGACCGGAAGAUCAGACGACCAGUUAUUGGAGCAGAGAGAUGACCAGGUGUAAUUUCUGCUUAUCUCAACCUUUCACAGACAAAUCUUUUUACCAGCUUCUUAGUAUGGAUUUACUUAAGCAGAAUUAAUCACUUCUGGUUGAUACAUAAAGACCUAAUUUUAAAACACUUCAUGUUUAUGGUCAUGGAACGAUCAAUCAUCGACUCGUCUUUUUUCAGAUUUAUCGGACUCUCAUUGGUGCUGGAUUUACACUGGUCCGUCUUCAUUGCAUUGUGAGUCCGCCUCAUGACCAUCAGUUUACAUUGUCUUCAUUGCGUCUCUGGUCCGUUCCCUCCUCCACUCAAGCUUCCAGAGGAGUGGUUUGUCUUGCUCUUGUCAGUCAGGCCUCAUGUCCUCUCCCCCCUAACUAAGUCCUUGUAAAAUUCAAUGUUUUUGUACUUCCAAAAUUAAACUUUCGUCAUCUGUGUCAAAAAUUGACAGUGUUAUCAGACCCGCGUUAUUGCAUAGGCACUAGGGAUGAGUAUCGUUAAGAUUUCAUCAAUACUACUCUUCUUUGAUACUGCUUAGCGAUCCGGUAUUCUUAUCAAUACCUUUCUGUGUGAAAACAAGGAGGGAGAAGGCAAACAACAAACUACAUAAAUGAAAACCUUUUACUUUGUCUAAAAAAUUAGAAAAAAAAUAUUAAUGUCCUUUGCAACACUGCUUCAUCCUGCUUCAUUUCGAAGUUGACAACUGUACAAGAUUAAAAAGGUGCUGAAAUGGGCAAAGACAUGAAAAAAGAAUCCAUUGAUCACCAAUGUCUUCAAUUUUCUCUUCUGAGCACUGCCCAUUUCAGUCAAAGUCUCCUCUACUGCCUUGGCAACAUUGUGGAAAUUUUAGAGAACUGGAGCUUAGAAGGUGUGUAACAGUGUGGAACCCAAAUUCCUUUAUCACUUGUGUUUCCCUUAUGUCAAGCUGUCAGACUUAGGACAGAUUGAUCAAAUUCAGCCAUAAAAGCUCAGUGACCUCGCCCCACACAUUCCAUAAGUGACAACAAUGGAGAUUUUAUAAACUCCAGAGUUUGCUCAUUGAGGAAAACAUCUUAAUAUAUUCGGAGAACAUUUUUUAUUGGAAUAACUUCCAGUCAUGUUCAGUACAAAAAAUGUUAAGUUAGGGAUGAGAGUAUAGCAUGCAUAUUUACAGUUUACAGACAUAAAGAUUACCUAUACCAAGAAUUUCAUUUGCAAAAUUAAAAAAAAAAAAUAUGAUUAUGUUUUAUGAGUUUAGAUCUAAACCCUCAUUGUGUCUUUUGGUGAGUUUCCUCCUGGAACUCAGAACAAACAGUCCAAACUGGCUCCCCCUUGGGUGGGGGGUAGGCCCCGCCCUCCCAGCAGGAAGGGUGAUUGGGUUGUCUGGGCGUUCCAGCAUCUGCCCAAGUGGAAAGAGCUGAAAUGAAGGAGCUCAUUGGCUAUCGAUAGCCAAUUACCUGAUGAGAAUGUGAGGCUCCAACUCCCAGCCUGCGGUCUACAGGAGCCUCUUUGAGGUCUGAUGAUGGUUGUUUUCAGCAGGAUUAUGGUCAAUGUAAUUAUGUCCAUCGAUGGUCGGCUGCAGAAUGAUUCAGAGUCACGCUGUGAGCUCCUUAGUAGUAGAAGGACUUCGUUUAAAAGCUUUGAUUGUUUCAAAUUGACAUGGUAAUCUGCUCCAUCUGUAGAAGAAUUUUCUGACACAUUUUUCAUGAACUACAUGGUGUGAUAUUACAUUUAUGGCAAAUGCUCCCUUGAAAUAUGUAUUUAUGGAUUGAAUAGUUUUAAGAAGUGAUUCAAUAUUCUGAUUGUAUUGUACAAUUUAUUGUAAAGGUUCAAAUCGUAAGGUUUCUACAAGUUUUGUGUGUGUGGCCCAUUUUGGUAAUCCACCUCAUAAUAAGAGAAAUAAAUAACUCAUAAUCUGGACGGAAACAUUGUUUAGUCUUUAUGGAAAAUAAAUGUAUGCACUUCUUAAAGCAGAACUUUUUGAAGAUUUGUUUGGACUUUUGGAGAGUCAACACUGUAGCAUCUGUUCUUAUUUUACCACCAUUUGCACCAAUGGGUUGAUGUCCAUAAGGGAAAAUGCAAACUCAGAGAAAUGCUAGGUUCAUGUAGUGUUUGAAUUAUUGGAAAAAUACCUGUCCAAUACACAUGAACGUCAGAAAAUCACCCAAUCCUAGCCAACAGAGCCAAGAGGGCCCCACAUGGCUGUUUCUAGUCCUUCUUUGUCUUGUAUUGUUGGGAUGAACAUGAACUUGCAUAACUUUA